GAUUCAACAAUUUAUUGUUGAGCUGCAACCUGUUGCACAGACCAGCGGUGCUGCAGGGACCCACUGUCGGAGCCAGUGUGUGUGCAGAGAUGAACUCAAAGGACUCAGUGCCUGACUGACAGGCCACAGUUUAGUCUGACGCCAUCCACAGCACACUUCAAGUGCAUUUGUACAUCCAGAAGUAUUUUGAUGACACUGUGAGUGUGGGACGUAUCAGUAAUAGACAGAAAAAGGCCUGAUAACAUCAUUCAGCACAUUAGAGUCAACACAACCGCCUCCCGCUGAAGCUGGUGGAUUUUUGGAGGUUUACACCUGCUGCUUAUCCAGUCAGCAUCAACACUAAAGUGGUGCCAAGCCAUAAGUAUCUAGGUGUGCAGCUGGACCACACGUUGGACUGGAAGCGUGUUGUUAGAUGCUGCAGGCUGCCAAGGAAAGAUGCAAAGGCUGGAGGUUGGAGCCAGUGGAGGCUGAGGAGGAGAGAUGCAGACUCUCCUGAAGCAUGCAAAAAUUUAUAGAUUUUUUUUUUCUCACUGGUGAUUUUUGACAGUUUUAUCUAAUUACAUUAGUCUUAGCACACUUUGAACAUAAUAAUAAUCUUCUAAUCCUGGCAUAUGUUUCUGUUGGAGACAAACAUCUGAAGUUUGGAGCAGUUUGAACUGAUUUCCUACAGAGCUCAGCAGUUUCCUCCUGCUGCUCCUCACCCCGGCCACCAGGGGGAGCCAGCAGUUUCCUCCUGCUGCUCCUCACCCCGGCCACCAGGGGGAGCCAGCAGUUUCCUCCUGCUGCUCCUCACCCCGGCCACCAGGGGGAGCCAGCAGUUUCCUCCUGCUGCUCCUCACCCCGGCCACCAGGGGGAGCCAGCAGUUUCCUCCUGCUGCUCCUCACCCGGCCACCAGGGGGAGCCAGCAGCUGUAGCAGGCCGCGGGCAGCCUGCACGAGCCACCAGCGAAGCGGACACGCUGCCGGAGCCCGAAGCAACGCGGUUACGGUGGAUUAAACCUGUCCUAAUACGACGAAUGAACCACGGGUCAAACUAAUACGACUCCACAUAAUAUUAUACGUCAGUUUGUCUUCUGGGUGACGUCACAAACAGGGAGAGGAGGAGGAAGAUGCAGAGGAAGAACCAGUGCUCUGCUUCGGGAUUGUCCCAUCAGCAGUGUGUUCCAGCCGCCUCCCAGCAUUGUUAUGUCUAUUAUCAUUUAUCCACAAGGCAACUCUCCAGUGCAGGCAAGAGCAAUUUAGCACCUUUUAAUGCAAAGUGUU